rnacentral:rRNA from 1 species
CAACCUCCCCACCCUUGUCUCUAUACACCUGUUGCUUUGGCGGGCCCACCGGGGCCACCUGGUCGCCGGGGGACAUCUGUCCCCGGGCCCGCGCCCGCCGAAGCGCUCUGUGAACCCUGAUGAAGAUGGGCUGUCUGAGUACUAUGAAAAUUGUCAAAACUUUCAACAAUGGAUCUCUUGGUUCCGGCAUCGAUGAAGAACGCAGCGAAAUGCGAUAAGUAAUGUGAAUUGCAGAAUUCCGUGAAUCAUCGAAUCUUUGAACGCACAUUGCGCCCCCUGGCAUUCCGGGGGGCAUGCCUGUCCGAGCGUCAUUUCUGCCCUCAAGCACGGCUUGUGUGUUGGGUGCGGUCCCCCCGGGGACCUGCCCGAAAGGCAGCGGCGACGUCCGUCUGGUCCUCGAGCGUAUGGGGCUUUGUCACUCGCUCGGGAAGGACUGGCGGGGGUUGGUCACCACCAAAAUUUUACCACGGUGACCUCGGAUCAGGUACCAGUAACCCCACC